UACGUAGGGUGCGAGCGUUGUCCGGAAUUACUGGGCGUAAAGAGCUCGUAGGUGGUUUGUCGCGUUGUCCGUGAAAACUCACAGCUCAACUGUGGGCGUGCGGGCGAUACGGGCAGACUGGAGUACUGCAGGGGAGACUGGAAUUCCUGGUGUAGCGGUGGAAUGCGCAGAUAUCAGAAGGAACACCGGUGGCGAAGGCGGGUCUCUGGGCAGUAACUGACGCUGAGGAGCGAAAGCGUGGGGAGCGAACAGG
rnacentral:rRNA from 1 species